UGGGACACUGCACCAGGCUUCACGCAGUCAUUGGGGCAAAAGUCAAACAGCUGCUGGGACUCUGCACCAGGCUUCCUGAACUUCACAGGGCAGAAUCCAAAAAGGAGAGCAUAGAUGUUCUCUGAGAUUACAGGUUUUGAUGAGAGUGUUGUUGUUGUUGUUGUUAAUAAUAAUAAUGAUGAUAUAUUAUUCAUGUCUUUAUUGCAGCUGCUAAGUCACCACGCCAGUCUCCCCGUACUCCUAGAGGCAGAAGUCAAAUAGCUGCUAGGUCACCACGCCAGUCUCCCCGUACUCCUAGAGGCAGAUGUCAAAUAGCUGCUAGGUCACCACGCCAGUCUCCCUGUACACCUAGAGGCAGAAGUCAAAUAGCUGCUGGGUCACCACGCCAGUCUCCCCGUACUCCUACAAGCAGAAGUCAAAUAGGUCAUCAUAGAUCUGCUAGGUCACCACGCCAGUCUCCACAUACUCCUAGAGGCAGAAGUCAAAUAGCUGCUAGGUCACCACGCCAGUCUCCCCAUACACCUAGAGGCAGAAAUCAAAUAGCUGCUGGGUCACCACGCCAGUCUCCCCGUACUCCUAGAGGCAGAAGUCAAAUAGCUGCUUGGACUCUGCACUAGGCUGCCCGAACUCCACAGGGCAGGAGUCAAAAAGAAUUCCAAAGGAAGGUGUUAACUUUGCUUAUACAGUUAAGGGAGGACGUGAGAAGAAUCGGCCAAAAGGUGGAACCAGAUACUGUUUUACAACUGUCUGCCUAUGGAGGCAUUUGAGAAUUUGGAAAGGCAGCUGAAAAGUGUGGAGAUGUGAAGAGCAAUGGUUUCACAGAUGUGCAAAAUUGGUGGGAAAAAUGUGAAGGACUGUGCGAGGAAAAUGCUGGACAGGGUUUUGUAAAAUUCCCUAAUGUCUUGUUUCAACAUGAAGGGGGUUGGUUUGCUGCAGAAGACAGCAUUUCAGGCAACCACACUGUUCUCAGUGAUUGCAGAUGCAGAGAUGACCAUCUUCCCAAAAGCUACAGAAUUUGAAAUAAAAAAUGCAAUCGGGGAGCAUUUUAAACAGGCACCAGGGAG